CUGAAGUGAUGCCAACACCAGCACGUUGUUUCUUGGGACCAGAGACACCGGCACAGCAUGAGAUCAUGUCUGUCCCGUUACAUGAAGCAAAAUGAAAAAGGAGGAAGCCGGAAGUGGACUGGGGGUGGCAUGAAGGCAGCAAGUAACCUUAGUAUGGCAGAGCGAAGGUAGCAUGGAAGGAUAUCCAGGCCCAUCGGAAGGAGGGCUGUGGGUUUAAAGGGCUUUGGCAAUGGGAUCCCAGUUCCAUCCUCAGAACCAGGAACAGAUUCCUGUCCUACUGCUCCAUUCCUCCCCUCUCUGUCUC